AUACGGAGGGUGCAAGCGUUAAUCGGAAUUACUGGGCGUAAAGCGCGCGUAGGCGGUUAGACAAGUCGGAUGUGAAAGCCCCAGGCUCAACCUGGGAACUGCAUCCGAAACUGUCUGGCUAGAGUUUGGUAGAGGGGAGUGGAAUUCCACAUGUAGCGGUGAAAUGCGUAGAUAUGUGGAGGAACACCAGUGGCGAAGGCGGCUCCCUGGACCAGAACUGACGCUGAGGUGCGAAAGCGUGGGUAGCAAACAGGAUUAGAAACCCUAGUAGUCC
rnacentral:rRNA from 1 species